rnacentral:lncRNA from 1 species
GCUCACCUGGGAUCAUCUGAGCUCACCUGGUCCCCCCUGAGCUCACCUGGUCCCCUCUGAGCUCACCUGGGAUCAUCUGAGCUCACCUGGGAUCAUCUGAGCUCACCUGGUCCCACCUGAGCUCACCUGGGCUCACCUGGUCUCACCUGGGAUCAUCUGAGCUCACCUGGGAUCAUCUGAGCUUACCUGGUCCCCCCUGAGCUCACCUGGGCUCACCUGGGCUCACCUGGUCCCCCCUGAGCUCACCUGGUCCCCCCUGAGCUCACCUGGGCCGUGUCGUGUCCCAGAUUCCGUGGAGGACGUGCUCGCGGAUCUCCUGGGAUUCGAUGAGGAUCCUCCCGUUCCCCUUUCCUGCGGAUCCCGACUCACCUGCGCCCAGGUGAGCUCCAGGUGAGUGCUCAGCCCCUCCCACCCCCAUCCCACUCCCUGAUCCCAACCCCCUGAUCCCAGCCCCAUGAUCCCAAUCCUUGAUCCCAACUCCUGAUCCCAAACCCCUGAUCCCAAACCCCUGAUCCCACUCCCGUGAUCCCAAUCCUUGAUCCCAAACCCCUGAUCCCAAUCCUUGAUCCCAAUCCCUGAUCCCAAACCCUGAUCCCAAACC